UGGGGAAUUUUGGACAAUGGGCGAAAGCCUGAUCCAGCAAUGCCGCGUGUGUGAAGAAGGCCUUCGGGUUGUAAAGCACUUUUGUCCGGAAAGAAAUCCUUGGCUCUAAUACAGUCGGGGGAUGACGGUACCGGAAGAAUAAGCACCGGCUAACUACGUGCCAGCAGCCGCGGUAAUACGUAGGGUGCAAGCGUUAAUCGGAAUUACUGGGCGUAAAGCGUGCGCAGGCGGUUUGCUAAGACCGAUGUGAAAUCCCCGGGCUCAACCUGGGAACUGCAUUGGUGACUGGCAGGCUAGAGUAUGGCAGAGGGGGGUAGAAUUCCACGUGUAGCAGUGAAAUGCGUAGAGAUGUGGAGGAAUACCGAUGGCGAAGGCAGCCCCCUGGGCCAAGUACUGACGCUCAUGCACGAAAAGCGUGGGGAGCAAAACAGGAUUAGAUACCCUGGUAGUCCACGCCCUAAGCGAUGUCAACUAGUUGUUGGGGAUUCAUUUCCUUAGUAACGUAGCUAACGCGUGGAAGUUGACCGCCUGGGGAGUACGGUCGCAAGAUU
rnacentral:rRNA from 1 species